GGACAGGUGCUGUAAAACAAAAAUCUGCAUUAUCCUAGAAACUAUUCGGGGAAACUGUGCAUGGGGAGAAGGAAUAUGACAUGUAAGAGAACGUUUUAAGCGAACACUUCUUGUCAUUUAUCUUUUAGAUUUAUAGUUUGAGAUAAACAUAUUCUGAUGUUAGUUCUAUGGUAAAUUACUGGAUCUUAGAUUCUAUUCAGUAUAUCCUUUCUGCUAACCAUAAAAAUAAUGAAAUAAUAUUACUUGCAGCAACAUGGCUGGAUCUAGAGAUUAUCAUACUAAGUAAUGUUAGACAGUGAAAGACAAACAUACUAUGAUAUAUGUGGAAUCUGAAAAAAAAGAUACAAAUGAACUUAUUUGCAGAACAAAAACAGAACAAAACAGACUUGGAAAAAAUUAUCUUUAUCAAAGGGGACAAGUUGAGGGGGUGGACAGGGGAUUUGGGAUUGGCAUAUGCACACUUUAGGUAAAAGCAGUGAUUGGCCAACAGGGACCUGAAGCACAGCAGAGAACUCUACCCAAUAUUCUGUGAUAAUCUAUGUGGGAAAAGAAUCUGAUAGAGAAUGGAUGUGUGUACAUGUAUAACUAAAUCACUUUGUUGUAUGGCAGAAAUUAUACCAUUGUAAAUUAACUAUACUUCAGUAAAACUUAAAAAAAAAUAAAGCUUUGCCCCUUAGACAUACAGGCAGUGGAUUCUGCAGUCUACAUAAAGAAUGGUAAAGCAGUGGUUACCCUUUACUUCAUUCAUCUUGCUUAUUCAAGAUUAUAUUCCAUCUGUACCUCAAGUUGCUACAAAGAAUUGUUUUAGCAUUUAUAUUUUGCAAACAUGCUCACUGAAUUUUCAUUACCUACAUACUCCAUUGCUGUGACUAAGCAAAUGAAAUGUAGCAGUACCUUACAAUCUGUCAUGCCGAAUCAAAACAUUUCUGAUUUAGGGGUCUCAAAGCUUUUAAGUAUUUGUUUGUGUUUAAAGACAUGGGUUGAAUGUAUCCUCUUUCCAUCAUGUCUAUGAGAUUCUGUUCAAGGUUAAAGUAUAAUUACUAAUUAUACAUUGGUCAAUGCAUUUUACAGUGCAGUGGUUCUUACUUGUUUUUAGUUAAGGCAAAGCAAACACUUAUUUUUAUCCUGGGCUUUCCUAUGUGAGAGGCAUUAUAUGAAACAAAAUACAUAAAACAAAACAAAAAAACAAAAUGUGAAUUUUUAGUUGUAUAUAAUCUUAGAAAAGUAUAUCUAUUUUCACUUACAAUUGUUCUUGUGAUUUUUUGAAGCUAUUUAUAUGUUUAUUGUGUACUGUUUGUCUUGGGUAUACAUCGUCAUGAUUCUAAAUAAGUAACUAAAAAAUUUAAAAAUUUACAUAGCAGUGUGCCUGUGUAUAUCUAACACAGACAAACCUACUGAUUCUCCCUUUAAAGUAGCUAUUUGGGGUGGGGGUUGUGUAUUUAUGUGUGUCUAUAUACACAUAUAAUGCCACAUACUGAUUCUUUAAAUAGAUUCAUGAUAUUGUCAGAGUCACUUAGUCAUUUAAUCUACAUAGGCAUCAGUUGUUUCAUUCGUCAAGCAAGAAAGUUGGACUAACUGAACACUCAAGUCUCCUCUAGCUAUUUAAUAAUAACCAAAACUUCUAUAACUGCAUUAUUCUACCAUUGCAGGUUGAUUUCAUUGAUAUUUUGUGUGUAGAGAUAAACCAGUCUGCAGCAUUUCAUUGUAUAGUUUUUCAUUAGUACUUCAAGUAAAGGUGUUUUACUUAAAGAAUUAAAAUAUUUCAUGGAAGAUAUAAUUCAUAUAUAAAGGCCUGGAUGAAGCUUUUUUUUUUUCUUAAUAAAAAGACUAGCUCCUCCUAGUGAAAUGUUUGUAGGGGUUUAAAAAGUGUUCCUUUUAUAAUGUCAAAGUGUGUUUGUAUGAAUUAUCAAUGUCAAGAGAGGCAUCACUAUAACUCAUACAAAUUUGGAAAAAGUAAUUGAAAAGAUAUGUUCCUAUGUGUUAAACAGUUUUAAGUUGCAGAAUAAGGUUGGAGAAUAUUUGGAAACAUGACCCCUACAACUAUUUGUAAAAAAAUAUUUUUCAGAUACAAUACAAUAUUUAAAUAUGAAAUAUGCUUUCUUUUAUCUAAAACUAAUUCCACUAAUUUAUGUUAAAGUGAAUGUAAGAAACAAAUUAUUAGGUUUUAAAAUUCUCAAAUCCACAAGAAUAUUAAAGGACUAAGAAAACUUUUGAUAUUAACUAAUCCAGAUAUCUCAUUUAAAGAUAUUAGAAAAAUGAAGGAACAUGAAUAAAAGUAGAUUCCCAUGGUCUCUUAGGUAGUGGAGUUGAUACUAGAUUUUUUUUUUCCCUGUCCAACAAUCUUUCCAGCAUACCAGGCUGCCUCACUUUCAAUGCAGAUUGGUUCCAGUGGAUUAUUAUUUUUUUUUCUUUUUAGGGCUGUACCUGCAUCAUAUGGAAGUUCCCAGGAUGGGGAUAGAACCAGUGAUGUAGCUGCUGGCCUACACCACAGCCAUAGUAAUACCAGAUCCAAGCCACAUCUACAACCUAUACCAUACAUAGCUCAUGGCAAUGCCAGAUCCUUAACCUACUGAGUGAGAUUGGGGAUCAAACCCACAUCCUCAUUCAUACUAGUCGGGUUCAUGACCACUGAGUCAUGAUGGGAACUCCCUGGAUUAAUUUUUAAGUGAGUUCUUGUCUUAUGGAUGGCGGGUCUGGAAUAUCAGAAUAAGGUUAGGAAAAAAGUAUACCGGAUAAGACUGAAAAGUUGUUCCCAUCAAAAUAAAUGAACCAUUUGCCUGGUUCCUGUGAGAAGAUCUAAAGGAUUAACCUUUCUCUUCCAAUGAAACCAGAAAGUCAAAUCAGUGAAGAAAAACCUACUAACCAAAAAUUUGCUCUUUGUAUACUUGGACUGCAUUAUGUAGAGGACUGGUAAUAGCAUUUGGAGUAAAUUUUUUUUUUAAUGUCAUGUAUAAUCAUAACCUAAUUUUUCUGUCUCAUAACUAAAAUUCAAUAAAUAAAUGAAAAUAAAAAUAUCACCAUAUUUACUUGCUGGAACUCAGGGAAGUUAAUUUAUUUGAUUUUAUCUGUUAUAAUCCUGCAUACAAAUAUGCACAAAUAAACAUACAUGUGUGCUCUAAAAUGUUGUGACAUCACUAAAAUAUAAAUUCUCUGCCUACAUAUUUACUGGUGUUUUAUAUGAGAAAUCGUAAUGUUAUGCAAAUAUAUUCAAUUUCUUAAUCAUAGUUUAGGUUUUCUUUAAACACUAUGUGAUAGCAAAUAAUUAAUGAAACUAUCAUAACUGAAAAAAUGAAGUGGAAAGAGUUUGAAUUUCAAAUUCAAAUAGAACUGAAUUUGAAAUCCAGAUAUAUUACUUGGGCAAAUUUCCUAAUCUCCUUAUUUUUUUUUUAUUAAACAGAAUUAACUGAAAUAGUUUUGAGGACUCAAUGGGAUAACAUAUAAGCAAGCUAAUUUAGUAAAUUAGGAAACAAUAAAAAAAAAACUAUAGAAUCAUUUCAAUGUAUUUUCUCUGGCUGUAAAUCCUGACUUACAAAGAUAGGUAGAUAAUCAGCCUUAAAUUGCAGAGUUCUAAUUUCUUAAGAUCAAACAAUAUUUUUACACAUGUAAAGAAAAUUAGAAUAUGGUCUUUUAAUUUACAUUUACAUUUUAUAAUAUUUAAUAUAAAGCAUUCAACACAAAAUGAACACUUAAACUGGAAUAAUUAAAAUUAAGUUUCAUUCAGAGAGAAUGUGAAUACCUCUAUAUUUUAAUAAUUUUUAAAAUCUGUAGGAUGAAGAUCCAGUGCACAAAAAUGAAAUCACACAAUGUUUAAAUAACUUAGGAUAAUCCUGAUACUUCUCAGUAUUGGGCAAAAAAAAGAUAUUUCAAUGAUGUUUAAUAAUCAUCUAUAAUUUGCAUUGUUACUACUCCUUCAGAAAAUAAUUCCUGUUAAUUCUAACCAGAAAUAACAGCUCUGUCUCUGAAAACCCAGAAAGUUUUGUUGUAUAUCUUUUGUACACCUCAAUUACUCCCUUGCGAAAUAGGGGCUGCAGACCCCGUCAUAUAUUCCCUUCUUGUCCGUUAACUCAUUGUCUUAUUGCUUUUUGAAAAUUUCAGAGUGCCUAGCACAGUGACUUUCACACUGUUCUUGAUAGCUUAUUGGUUAAUGAAUGAAUGAAUUCCUAGUUUGGUAUUUGCUAUUCUGCGCACAAAGCUGAUGUCUUUAAAAUGACAUUUUAUUUAAAUUACUACCCAACAAUGUUAUUCUAAAAAUCUUUAAAUCCAUUUCGUAUUUCAGAACACAUUAACAGUGGUCAAUAAUUUAGCUAUUAAUGUGAAGUGUCAUUUCACCAGGGAUCCAUCCUGUGAAAUGGAUGAUAUGGAAGCAUUUAUUUAAAAGAGUUUUAAAGUACUUAUGUGCAGUCCAAAGCACUCAAUUUCUAAGCUAAAUGCUUCACUAGUUCCCUCUUUGUAAAGUCUAGAUGACUUUGGCUUUAAAUUAGAGAGCAGUGCUUCCUCAUAUUCUAACUUGAAAUAUCAUCUACAUUUUGCACACUAUUUCAAGUGCUUCUGUCGCUCGAAUAACACUUUUUCUAACAUGUGGCAGUUUCAAAAGUUCUCAUAGUAUUAUUUUUUUUGAUUCUUAGAACAGCACCAUUAUUGUUUAAGGGAAUUUUUUUCAAAGCUCAUUUUAUAGAUUAAAACUCCAAGUCUUGGGAGUUCUUGGCAUGGCUCAGUGGUAACAAACCUGACUAAUCUACAUGAGGCCGAAAGUUCCAUCCCUGGUCCCACGCAGUGGGUUAAGGAUCCAGUAUUGCUGUGAACUGUGGUGUAGGUAGCAGACUCAGCUCAGAUCGGCUGUUGCUGUUGCUGUUGCUGUGACGUAGGCCAGUAGCUGCAGCUCCAGUUAGAACCCUGGCCUGGAACUUCCUUAUGCCCAUGGUGCAGCCCUAAAAAAACAAAAUAAAUAAAUAAAUAAAUAAAUGAAAAUGAAAAUGAAAAAAAAAAAAUCCAAGGCUUGAAGAAUUUCAGCUUCUUUGCUCAAGGUUUCAUUUGCUGGAUUGAGUAACAGUGUGAGAAUUAGUACCCAAGAUGUUCAGUAUUAUGCCAAGUGCUUUUGCCUUUUCAUACUUUUUUUCUUUAAAAUGAUAUAAAAAUAGCAUUACUAGAACAAAAACGGCCUCAGAAGAUAUUUAAAGAUAAAGCAGAAAGAGAACAAUUUGCAUUAAUGGAAACUUUCUGAUGUCAUUCAAGUCUAUAGCUUGUUGAUUGUGGUUUUUGUUUUUUUAUUCUUUUGCUUUGAUUUUGUUUUCAUCUUAACUUGCUGAUGUUUUCCAAUGCAUUUAACGUAUACUGGUGUUUAAGGCAAUUAAAACAAACAAACAAAAAGAAGGAGACAAGUAGUUAUACCAAGCCAUCAGUCUUUGUUCUUUUCUUGAGCUUUUUAAAAAUUCUCUUUCUUUUGGGUUUUAUAGAAAUUCUCCCCUGGUUCAUCCCAAGAGAUUAUCUUCAGAUGAAAUAUCAGGGUAGUUCCAAUUUUUGAAAGUCUUCUUGGUGCAGCAGGUGUGAUGUACUGAACAUUGUUCUAUUUUUAAAACAGUGACCAUUUGGGGAAUGUAGUAAAAUGUUUACCAAAAUAUUGCCUAAAAGUUAUGACAGUAUAAUUUUAUGAAAAGGAAAAAUCACACUUAUACACACACACAAACAUGCAGCCUUACCAACACACACACACAUAGAUACAUAUUCUUAAAUUUUGGUUAGAAGAGUCAUUUGGGAACUAAUAAAUUUUGGUUAGAAGAGUGAUUUGGGAACUAAUAAGCUUUCUGAGACAAAAUAACAUUCUAAAAUUUAAAGUGUUCUGGUGUGUCAAAAUGUUACAAAAAUGUCACUAUUAAAAAAAAAUAAAAUAAGAAACAGGAGUUCCCUUCAAGGCUCAGUGGUUAGCAAACCCAAGUAGUAUUCAUGAGAAUGCAGGUUCAAUCCCUGGCCCCACUCAGUGGCUUAAGGAUCCAGUGUUGCUGUGAGCUGUGGUGUAGGUCACAGACAUGGCUCGGAUCCUGAAUUGCUGUGGCUGUGGCUUAGGUGGGAAACAGCUCUGAUUCCACCCCUAACCUGGGAAAUUCCAUAUGCUGUGGGUGCAGCC
rnacentral:lncRNA from 1 species